AUAAGACAUUGCACAUUUAUUGAUGAACAUGGCACAUUAAUUGGACAUGGCACAUUGAAUGCAUAGCAAUGGUACAAUGUGAUGGCCCUUUAAUGUGUCAGUGCCGUACAGAGUGUAUCUAUCCUUGCAGUUUACCUCCAGAUAGUACAAGUCGUUGAGAGGGGUGAUCUGAGACUGAAAGUCCAAAAAGUCUUCAGUUGUUGUGAAGACACCAGCAGGCUCAGGGAUCAGGGAAGAAAGGCUGUGAGACAGGUGACUGACGCCGCUCUGCAGUUCUGGGAGAAGACUAAUUCCGCGGCGCUACGACCCUAGAUACACACAAUCAGGGAUAAGAUACACUAAUGAGAGUUGUACGACACAAAGGAGGGACUAAGAAACACAAAAGGAGUACGAAAUUCAAGAGGGGGG